UCCGAUUGCCCAGGCAUUGAUAAUAACUGCUGUUCCGGCUGGAAUGUCAUAGCCCAUUACUCUGACAUCUUCACUCGCUUCACGUCCGAGUAAUGGGAAAGGAGGAUGCAAACGAACAGUUUCUUUGACCACUGCUUUAAGGACUGUGGAAGUGGUGUCAGUUCCACCAACAAAGAUGUCCUGCAAGAAUCAGAAGAAAAAAACAACUUCAGAUGGUUAGUAUAGUUUGUUCAAUAUAUGUGAGUAUCCUUGAUGUAAAUAUUCUUGCAACUAGCCAUCGUGCACAGACACAGACACACACACAAAUUGCAUAAAAAAAAAAUUAGUUGUUGCAAUUAUAAAACGAUUAGCAACUUUAUAUCAAUCAGAUUUGUAAAGGGUUGUGCUGGAUUGGUCUUUUACUUAAUACAGCCUAAAUAAUUUUUUAGGGUAGAUGACUUAUUUCAUUAUUUGUGCGAAGUCCACUAUACACUAGAUAAAGCUCCAUUCUGUUUCAAUUGAAAAGUUGAGACUUUUUCAAUCCUCUUUGCAUUAAAAAUUUAUCUGACUGGAUUGGAUUAGAUUUUCGAGUCUAGUUGAAUAUAUCUUGUAAGGCUAGUAAUUGGGAAAUAUCUAGUAAGAGUUCCUUUACUGGAUUGCUCUAAGUUUGGAAAGCUGGUCUUCAGUUGAAGCCUCUUUCCUUUCUGCUACAAAUGUUACUUGAUCAAAAUUAACUGCUAUUCAACCUUACUCCAAAACCAACCGAUCUGACCCACAUCUUCUCUCUAUAAUCUCUGUCCAUGAAUUUGCUCUCUCUUCUCUCUCUCAUCUCUUUCUCAUGCGCGAAUUUGCUCUGUGUUUAACACCAAUCAUCCCGUCCUCUCUCUAUCUCAUCUCUGUCCAAGAUCUAGUCAUUGUAGGUUUUUGUAUCCGCAAAACCAAGCAAAACUUCAAUACCCAGUUGCAGAAUAGGCUAUGGAGGCAAUUAUAACCUUCUUGCGUAUGCUUUACAAGCGUUUUCACCAAGUUAAAGAAAUAAAAAGAGGAAGAAGAAAAGAAGCAGUAUUAGACAGUUUGUGAAAUCUAGCCGCAGAGAGUCUCCAUAUGAAGUAUUGGGGGGUCACCUCCUCUGCAACUCCUGGUGAAAUCAAGAGGGUUAAAGGCUCAAGGCGCACUAAGGCGCCAAAUGCCAUGUGGAGCCUAAGCGCAAGGCGCAGUAUAAGGCGCGAGCCUGAUCGAAGUAAGGCGCGUGUAUGUAAUAAUGCAUAUUUAAACAUAUAUUAUUAUAAAUAUUCAUAAUCAAGCAGUAAUUGCAGUUAAUGUAAGUAGUGAACCAUAAAUUUAUGAACUUUGUCAAAUAUUUCAAAAGAUUUAACAAUAAGAUAUAUGAUAUAGAACAUUUUAAUUUACUAGUCAUCAAGUAAGAAAGAAAAUGAUAUGAAUAAAUGAUUAAAAAAUACAAGGCGUGGUCUUUUUUUAGCUUGUAGCCUAUUAAAAAGUGUGAACCUGAGGGCUUUAUGUGAGCCUGAUUGAAGGAGCCUAGCCCUUAGUAGGUUGAGGCGCUCUAGCUGAGCCUUGACGAGCCUGGGGCUUUUUUGGAGCCUAGGCAUGCCUUUAACAACUAGAAGAGGGCUUAUCGGAAACUUGCUCUAAAAUAGAAUAUAUGUUAUUUACUAGUGUAAUAUAUGAAUUUUUUUUUUUUUUUUUUUAAGAAUCUAACCUGUUAAAAAUUUGGAUUAAAUGGGAUGUGAUGAAACAUUGGAUUUUAAUCUAUUUCAAAAGUAGAAAACUCCUCUUUCCUCUCAAAUUUGAGUUUUUUUUCUUCUUCAUUGAUUAUCACACAUGGAGAAUCGGGAUGUCUAGUCUGGCUCGUGUGUUGGACACAUAUACCCAUAAUGUGUACACUGAGAAGAAUCGGAUGGUCUAUGUAUCGCAAUCUAAUCAAUGGCAAAUGUACUUUCUUGUUCCUAAUAGAAACCCAUACAAACUUUUUUACUGACUAUUCAUUUAACUAUUAGGAAGUCCUUUAAUUAAUUGGAAAAAUAAUACCAAUUACAAAAAAGAAGAGAAUUGUAUGAUACCCAUCAUGAAAUUUGUGACCUUUCUGGAGAGAAUUCCAGCAUCAAAUCUAUCAUCAACAUCAAAGAUCGGGAUCCAGGUUGAGCCUUUAACCCAUGCCUUCAAACAAGAGCUACAAUUAUGAGAACAUAAUAAUGGAAGUGGAAAGAGACAAUGUGGUCCAAGUUUUUUUAAAGGGGAAAAAGGUAAAACUAAGUAUGCAACGACAAAUUAUCAACAAGUAAUAGUGAUGCAUAAUUCAAUAAGAAAAAUGAACUUACAACACUACUCAAGCUUUGAAUGUGCAACUUCUGCCCUUAAUGCAGAGUUUUUAGGAAACUCCUAAGACAAAGUGAUAAUCUAUAAUGAAGUAAUGUGGAGAGUGAUAGAGAAUACAAAAUUUUGAUCGAGUACCAAAGGUGUACCAGAAAGUAUGACAUCUGCCAUCCAUGUUCACACAAUAUGACUUCACUGGAAAAGAAAAUUGAGAAGGAAAAGCAUUCACCUUUUUAUGUUCAGUAGAGGGACGAACGUCGAGUAGCGUUUUGUCGGAGAGUUGAAUUGCAUACCCAGCUUCCCUUGGUGUGAGAACUUUGACUUUUUCCUGCCUGACCUAUGAUAAAACAGAUUUAGGUAACCAAAAAGGAAAGUCAACAUAGAACGUUAGACCUCCCUGUCGACGAAUGGCCUUGCACGGCCUAGAUAGGUCUUAGCAUUAUCACGGAAUACCAACAAAAUUUACAUAUGAAAAAGCCAAAAAAAAGAAGAAGAAGAGGAAGGGAAUGAGUUAGAGAUAUUAAUGUAAUUUAUUUUAUAAUUUCCAAAUAAAAUUUAUAAUUUAUUUAAUGGUUUAUAUAUCAACUCUGAUUUUUUUGGCAGCUGACCUAGCCUUACUUUUUCUUCCCUAACGAGCCUGAUGACAAUUUUUGUUUUAGUUAUGCUUGUCUUAAACCAGCUUUAGUUAUUUCAAGGUUGUUAAAAUCGGGAUUCUACGUAGAAUCAUUUUGGGCUCCGUAGAAUCGGAAUCGUAGAAUUAGAUCGAAAAUCAUAAGAUUCUACCAACUAGUAAAAAAAAAUAAUUCAAACUAACUUCUUAAACAAUAUAAUGUGUAAAAUAUAGCAAGAAUAAGGCCAAAACACCAAAAAAAUAAAAUAAAAAAUGUAUGAAGGUACCAUACCAAAGUUCAAAUAUAUAAAAGAGAAUGUAGCUCAAAAGGUAGAGCUCUCAUGACAACUAUGCAAUUUGUAAGUUGUGAAGUGUGUGAGAAGAUGAAGGUUUGAAUCCUAAUCCAUAACAUAAGUUCACAAAUCCCAAAUCCUAAUCUAAACUUACAACAGCUCCCUUAAAAGAAGAGAACACAAAUAAAAUAGAAAAGGAACUAAACAUAGUUACAAAGCAUAAUGUAAAAAGUAAAGAACAGAAUAGAAUUAAAGGGCCCAUUCUUCAUGCUUAAAAAAAAUAAAAUAUUGAUCAGAAACAGGAAAAUAAAAAUAAAAAAUUUGAACAGCAACAGGAAAAAAAAAAAAAAAAAAAAAAAAAGAAGAAAAA